CGAGAAGGUCACACCCGUUCCCAUCCCGAACACGGUAGUUAAGCUUCUCUGCGCCAAUGGUAGUUGGGGGCUUCCCCCUGCGAGAGUAGGUCGCUGCCAGGC
rnacentral:rRNA from 1 species